AGACACCACCACACCUCCACCUACAUCCAUCACUCUUCCUCCUGUUCUCUCUGUGCUGUUGCCCAUUGGGUCAGUGUAUGUUGUGGUUCCACUGGUGUUACUGGUUCUGCUGGUGAGACGAUGUGUUCACAGGAAACUUGAAGCAGAUGGAGAAGAUGACAUCACCAGUAGCAUCACAUGCAGUGUUGUGAAAUCAUCCAAUCAUCAACAACCUCCAGUCAAAGAAACCAGAGAGGAAGAGACUGAUUCAGCUGUGAUCUACUCAGCAGUGAGAACUGAAGACGUCCGUUAUGGACAAACAACCAUCAGAACAAGGAGGCCCAGACUUUAAACCAGAGCCAGACGUCGUCUACUCUUCACUGAAGUAGUCCACCAGUCCAACCACUGAAGUCCAGCUGCUGGUCUCUAACUGGUCCCUCCAACACCUCGUCUUUUGUUCCUACAGCCGUUUCUCUGCAGGAUUAAUAAACUUUUGCUCUCAGAUGUUUUCCUCCUGUGGUUCUGUGGGUUUCACAAAGACGACUGAUGGAGAAUUUGAGUUCUGGUUUGGUUGUGGUGAACUGUCAGACAUGUGCCUUCAUAGCAGAAACAAACAUUAAACCACAACCACAGACUAUAAACAGCACAAGCAUCAUUCAGUGUGUGUGUGUGUGUGUGUGUGUAUGAGACAGAGAGAUGCCACAGGCAAAUACUAAUAUUAAUUUUGUUUGCAAACAAACAAGAAUCUUCAGGGUGUACGUCAGAUGUCUUAAACGAGGAAAACUUUAAUGCUUUACAUUAAGGAGGAGGAGAAAUUGAUGUUUUCUGAAAAAUAUGAAGUGAAAUAUUUCUCUUGUCAGCGAUGAAGUAGGUGGUGGUCGGCCCUUAGUCCACGGCUGGGCGCAACCUGAAAAAGUUACAUGAGCCCUCCACCCACAGUAGGUGCCGUAGGG